UCAUAUUGGCUGUUACAGUGCUCAGACAGCAAUCUAGAGGUGGCUAUGAGUGAACUUUUAGAUGUGGUUAAUAUUUAAUCCAUAGACUUGGGCUGAUGCAUAGUGCUCUCUGUUCGGUGGACAGGCCUCCUCUAAUCCGAGAACGUAAGUAUAGAGACCGAGGUUCUUCAAAGCUGCCCUGUGCAAACUGCUGUCUCCAGAUACCUGAGAAUCCAACACCAGGUGGCAAUGCCAGCUCCUGCCUAAAUUCUCUGGGAGCAGUACUUUAGGGACUUGCCAGCCCCCCAAAUCCUGUAAGCCAGUUGCUUAAAAAUCAGACAAUUGACGCUUUCUAUUUACUGAAAGCAAGAUGGUAGAAAAGAACCAGAAGUCCCCACUGUUACACAUGCUAGAGGUACCAGAGUCUAGGGCCUUGAAAAGGAAGAGAUGGGAGUGUGGUGCCAGACCUCGUCUCUUGGACAGAACCUGCAAGAUGUCUUCCUCUGCAUGGAGGGGCCGCCCCUGGGCCAGCAAGCCAUUUCAGGCUUGAGCAAGUCUUCUGACACUGCAGGGGGCCCAAGGCCAGGUGCAGGGAACACUGUGAGCUUCUGCUGUAAGCUACAGGGUCUCCUCUCAGGGCAGAAAACAGGAACUGACUGUGGCAGAGGAAGCAACGGGGCACAUGUACAGAAAGCCUGACAAUUUAAGCACGGCCGACAAUGGCUUGAGCAUUUUUCUAGACUAUUCACUGAUCACGUCUUAGAUACUUAGACGAUGCAAGCAAGUUUAAAAAAACAAAACAAAACAAAACUGACGGCCCAUACAGCACUAGCAUCUCCUAUAUUUUUGGAAGAUCAAGGAACACGGUCGGCCAUUUUGAUGGCUGUUUUGAAUUCUCACACCACAAAAAUCCUUCCCUUCAGGAAACUUGCGCCUGCAAGAACGGACAUGAAGUCUAACUGUUUUUUGUUUGUUUGUUUGUUUGUUUUUUAAAUAUCAGCACACUAACCACAGGUCAGGUUUUAGUCUUUUUAUAACACAGGCAACUCACGAACCAAAAAGACAGAUGAAGUCCAAUAUGUUGACCAAUUCUGGAUUUUCUAAAUGAAGAGCGUCUAGAUUUUUCUUUGAAAAGAAGCAUCAGCAUGCUUUUUAAAGGACUGCAGUUGAAUUUAUAAGUCCAAUUUGCGUUUUAGAAUUAGGCUUUUGACACAUGUGGUUAUUUGGGAUGCCGUGAAUGAGCCUGAAAUCAGAGAGUGGCCUUCAAGAAGCAUUCUUCUGGUACACUACUUAACAACCAAGAAGGCAUACACUGGCCUUGGCUACAAAACAGGAGCCUCAGCAGAACUCUUUGUAACCAGCUGAAGGGCACAGUGGGAUGAGGAUCCUGAGAGGAGAGGGGGAGGGAAGAUGAGAAGUGGAAAGGCAUGACUUUUUAAAGGCGGAAAACACAGAGAGAAGGUAAACAUACUUGUUAAACAAUCGAGCCCUUUGUUCUUGGUCUUCUGGGUCAGAGACAGUGCUAGAGUCCCAUUGUGCUCUGUUCCUCCUCUCUGCCUCUUCUGCCACAAGCACGUCUUGUAGGAUCCUUUGGGUUUGCUCUGCAUUAUAACAGAUGAUUGUCACUUUUCUGACACCGGUGUGAGCCCACCCACCUCAGAACACUCUUUCCUUCUCUAAAGCUGUAACAACAUAUUCCUGUAGAUUUGGCCAUCUCAGAUUGUACAUAAAUGGACGGAUAGGACUGGGUUCGCAUUUUUCUGAAGACACAUAAUGUUAGUUCAUUUAAAAAUCGUCCAGGUGUCAGAGUGCGUGCUGUAAUCACAGCACUUGAGGGGUGGAGACAGAAGGAUUUUGAGUUCAAGACCAUCUUCAAUAAUGGAGCAAAUUGGAGGCCAGCCUGGGGUAUACAAGGCCCUGGCUAAAGUAGUCAUUAACUGUUGGAAAUAAAGACUAUCUUGACUAGGACUAGUCAGUCAGUCCAUCAGUCUUUCUGUUUGCCUGUCUGUCUCUGUCUUUGUCUUUGUCUCAUUAAAAAAAACAAAAACAAACAAACAAACAAAAACCAUACUGGCAUUCUCUCCUCUCCCCCAGAUAAAGAGGUUUUGAGGGGGGAUAUCAAUUUGGGAGCUAGUGAGAUGGUCAGUGGGAAAGGGCUCAUGCCCUCAAGCCUCAGUUUGAUCCCUGGGCCCUGGGGAGGUGAGGAGGGAGAUGGGGAGAAGAGCUCUGACUCUGUAGCUGUAAAUUGUCCUCUGGCCUCUGUACACAAUAAAAGGUAUGUUUAUAAAAUGCCUUUUAAAAAAUAAUAUUUAAAAAUGGGAACAAGGGAGGAAGAAAACAUCAGAAUCCCUUCCAAGCAUGGCCUCUUCUGCUCCUGACUAGUGAUAUUCAUGCCUUUCCCAUCUUGGCCUGGCCUGAGAGGCAGUGCCCAUGCCACAGGGAGGUUCUCCUGACUCAGGAAAUGUACUUGUGGUAUUCAUCUUCCCUUCCCUUCCCUUCCCUUCCCUUCCCUUCCCUUCCCUUCCCUUCCCUUCCCUUCCCUUCCCUUCCUUUCCCUUUCCUUCUCUUUUCCUUUUUCCUUCCUUCCUUCCUUCCUUUUUCUUUUUCUUUUUCUUUUUUAAGGCAAAGUUCACAACACAGUAUAGAAGUCUAUGUAGAACAGCCCGGCCUUGAACUUACAGAGAUUCACUGCCUGUGCCUCCCAAGUACUUAGAGACAGGUCAUUAGGGCUGGGUUUUGAGAGUGUAGCUCCUCACCCUACUUGCUGUCUGCUUUCUCUGCCUCAUGCUCACAUGAGCUUACAAGACAUGCGCUCUCAGCAUCCAGCUGUAUGCCUGCAGUGUGCUGCUAUGCCUCCCUGCCUUUCCAGAACUAUAAGUCAAAUAAACCGUCUCUUCUAUAGGUUGCCCAGGUCACGGUGUUUUAUCACAGCAACAGAGAAGUGACUACUACGCUUAGCCUGGCUCCAGGCUUGUCCAUUGCAGACUUAGGACUUGUGAUCUCUACUAAAACCCAUGGCAGGGGAGGCUUAUCCUGGAGACAAGCUAUAGGAAAAACGAUUGGGUCUGCUCUCUUGGAUGUGUCCUUCUAUGCUCACACCCUAACUGUUGCCCUUCCAGACUCCUCUUUUGGACUUGACAGACUCUUUUGCCUCCCUCAGAGAGCACUGCCUGAGAGCUGCUCACUCAGACUCCCCAGAAUGUUUUUAACAGUAUGCACAAUAUGAGUGUGAACAGUCAAGGCUAGCCCCCUUUGCAUUGUAAGAACUACAAGGUCUCUUUGGCACUGAUGUAAACUGAUGCUAACCACACACUGUGAGAGAAAGAAGGUGGACGUCACCACAGCUCACCCUAAAGCAGCUCCAUUUUGGACCACCAAGGGUGAGCCGAGAGUCUCGAAGAGGGAGAUGGAUCACCCAACACUGAGGGAUUUGAGUUUCGCAGAGAAGCAGUUUAAGAACCCAGAAUUAUCACUCGGUAAUGUCUCUUACACAAUCAAUCAGGCUAAAACUCAAAUCCUCACAUUCAAAUGAUAAGAGGAUGUGAACGUCUUUUUCCUUCCUUUCUUCCUUCCUUUCUUCCUUUCUUCCUUCCUUCCUUUCUUUCUUUCUUUCUUUCUUUCUUUCUUUCUUUCUUUCUUCCCUUUUUUCUAGUUUUAGUUUUCAAAACUAAUAUUGAAAACCAGCUCUCCAAUGCUGGGCACACUGAUACAAACCUGUCCUCUUAGUACUGGGAGGCUGAGGCAGGAGGGUCAUGAGUUUGAGGUUAGUUUGGGCUACGUAACAAAACCCUGCUUCACAAACUAAAAACAAAAAUGGCCUUCAGUUCUGUUUUAAUGAUGUCAUUGACAUUAUAUUAUCUUUGCAGCUUUUUAAUCUUUAAGUCAUUUUAGAGCCCCAUAGAAAUUUCAAAAACAGCACAGAGAAUUUCCAUGUUGGCCUUCCUCAGCUUUUCUUAAUAACUUUUUUAUAAUCUUGCAUUGAUUAAAAUUAGGAAAUUGAUAUUGGUGCAAUAUUGAACUACAGAUGGUAUUCAUAUUUCCUUGGUUGUUUUAUGGUGUUAGUUAUGAUAUAUCUGUAUUUCUACAAGAGUCUAUCAGCUGGGCAAUUUUUGUUGGUAUUUGAACUCAGAACCUCUGGAAAAGCAGUCAGUGCUCUUAACUGCUGAGCCUCUCUCCAGCCCUCAUUUCCUUUUCAAAUAAGUGUUAUUUGUUUGUUUAUUUGUCAUUGUGCGUAUAUGAUAAGGGGGCAUGAUGUCAUGGUCUGUGGAGGCCAGAGGACAAUUUUGUGGAGUUGGCUCUCUUCUUCCCUUGGCCAAUGAGAAUUGAACUCAGGUCUAUAGGCUUGCCCGGCAAGCACUUUUACUUACUGAGCCAUCUUGCCACCUCUAAAACUGAAAAAAAAAACCCUCUUAUUUAUGUUUACUUUUCCUUAGUAACAUUUUAAAAUGUGCAGAAAAAAAUACAGAGAAGAAUGUGAUCGGUCUGAGGGGGUCCAAGUCCCAACUCUAGACUUAAGAGAUAUCAACAUUUUGACACGUGCUUUACAAUUGUUUUAAAGAAUAAAAUAUUAAAGAUACAGUAAACAUCUCGACUGAACUAUUUUUCUGGCUCUCGUCCUCCUCAGGCAUGGUUAUUUCUUUGGAUGAAAAUGAUGAAGUAAGCAAAUCAGCUAAACUCACUCUGUGUUUGUCCCUUACCUAAAACAUUAAAUUGUGACAGCAAUACAUAUGUAGCUCAUGUCAUUACUUACCAGUAUUUUAAAUUACACUGUGAAAAUAUUUAUCUCUCUUCAAAAGUGCACCAAAUACUCAAUAACAGUAAAGUAUUUGACACUGUAAAUUGGUUCCAGUGAUCAUAGCACAUGGGUACAUGGUAGGCACCACGACGUUAGCCUGAACAAUGGAUAAGAUCCAUGCAUGUCUAUGACAUAGAAAUUUAUAUUGUAUUAUCCUAAUGAAGUAAGACACUUGUAAAUAUUCUUAUCGAUUUGUCUACUGACUAUAUAUUGACUAUUUUAUUGAAAGGCUGAAGGAUGGACAACCUGCCACAUAACCUGAAAUCCACAAUGACAACCUGCAAGCUAAGGACAGAAAUAGGACAGAGACACUUCAAAGUCACCACCAGCAAGCUGGGCCCUUAUGACGGGUCUUGGAGAAGUGUCCUUAAGCAAGUGGAACCCAGAAACCUGAUACGACUUCAGAAUAUUCAAACUUCUCCUUGCACGCCCGUGCAGACCACACAGGCCACUUGUGUCCCGUCCCCUCUCUGUCCUCACUGACCUCACAGCUGCCCCAGGAUAUAUGUCAACGCCACUUUCCUAAACCAGGCUUUGUCUGGUUUCCCUCUUUCAGGCCGUCUCCCUCCUCAUCUUUAUUCUCAGUAGGAUGGGAUCCUCUCUCUGUAGAAGGCAGACACUGUCAACUCCAGAGCUCUCUUUGGAAGACUAGGGGAAGAAACAGCAAGUGUUUUCAUGAUGACUUUUAAAAGGCAGUUUCAUAUGCUCAUAAUCCCCACACCUGGCAUUUCCCUGUGUUUACAUUGCACCCACCGGGGUGUGCAGCCAUCAGGACUAACUUCAGAGCACUUCCUCACCCAUCGAUGCAGACACUCACUCCCUUCUUCUACACCUCCUACUUCCAGCUCUGGUGACCAGGAGUUUGUUCUUUGUCUCUGUGGAUUUUCCUACUUGGGAUUUUUUUUUCAGUCCUAGGGAUUGGGCUAAGGCCUAAUACACACGAGGCAAGUGCUCUAUCACAGAGCUCCACCUCCAGCCCUGCUCUGCACGUUAUAUGAAUGUGAUUGAUUGCAUUUUACGUGAGUAGCUUCUUCCCUUUCCGUAUUAUUUCUGAAGUCCAUCUGUGUUGUAGCAUGCACAAAGCCUCCAGUCCCUUUAAUGGCAGAAAAACAUUCAAUUGCAUGACACAAUUUGUUCACUCAGUCACUUGAUGAACAUUUGGGAUCCUUCUGCUCUGGGACUGCCACGGACAGUGCUCCUGUGGAUAUCGUUUUGUGGGUAUCUGUGUGGUCACAUGUUCAUGUCUUCCCGGUAGAUGCCUGGGAGUAGAACUUCCGAGUCACAUGCUAACUGAUGUUUUUGAAAAGGCACGGUAAUGUUUGUGUCUUUGUUGAACAAACUUUCAGCCCAGCUUUCUUAGCCCCUUAGCGACUUUGUGGCUUGCACUCGAAAAGCAAAAUCAAAACAAGAAAUGCUUAAUAUCUAGAAACCCCUCAGGCUGUGUCAGGGGCUACGAACAAUUUCCUUUUGUAUCAUAGCAUUUAUUUCCACACUAUGGGGGUUAUUAUUAUUAUUUUUAGAAGCCUGAACAUUUUUAGGAAGCUACAAACCAAUGCUGUGUGCUGUGUUGAAACUUGCUAUUCCAUAGAGUGACCUGAGCUAUUGCAGACCUCUGGGUCAUUAUUGCUAUCUCUAGAUGUUUCAGCUCCUAUCUCUAGAGCAAAUGGUGUCCUUACCUUGGUAAUAAAGGAAAAGGGAGAUGAGCAGGUAAGGGCUGAGCUCCUCCAGAUGACCACAGAAGGCACAGAAAGCACCCGGACCUUUGGAGAAGAGUGUCAGGAAAAAGUGCUCCACUCUUUCUGGAUAGCGAUCCCGAGAGAGGAUCUCCCUGUACUCUUUUAGGGAGAACACACCAUCAUACACCAAGUAGGGAAGCACCCGGGCCAGGUGGAAGUCCUUCAGCAUCCGCUCCUUGUACCUCGUCAGUAUUUCUGCAAGCCACUGACUCCUCUUCUCCUUCUCCCACUGUGUCCUUGUUUCAGAGGAAUAAAACCAAGAGUGAGCUCCUCGCUCCAACAUGCUAUGCCUUACGGAGCUGGAGACAGGGCUCCCUCCCGGUGGCUGCUGCUCUGAUGCCUUGCUGGCCGGAUCUACACAACUAGACAUCUGGGAGCUUGGAGUUAUUAUAGACGUGAGGAAUCGGCCAUGCUCAUAGCUGAACUUGAAUCAUAAUAUUGGCAGCUGCAUCAAGAACGGCAUUGCUAUCUGUAUGUGGUAGGUGCGUGUCCCACUGCCCGUUCUGGAGCCUGCAGCCCCCUUGCAGUACAGCUGUAAGGAGUUACAGGUGACCUUGAACCUGUCAUGAGGAGUGAUCUGAAGCUCUGGUGUUGCAGGCUUUUUCUGUGACAAGGAAUUGGGGAACAGAGUCUGCUGCCACCAUAAUAUUCUUUCCGGUUUGGGUCAUAGAAGAAAUUAGA